rnacentral:rRNA from 1 species
UACGUAGGGUGCAAGCGUUAAUCGGAAUUACUGGGCGUAAAGCGUGCGCAGGCGGUGAUGUAAGACCAGAUGGUGAAAUCCCCGGGCUCAACCUGGGGACCUGCAUUUGUGACUGCAUCGCUAGAGUACGGUAGAGGGGGGAUGGAAUUCCGCGUGUAGCAGUGAAAUGCGUAGAUAUGCGGAGGAACACCGAUGGCGAAGGCAAUCCCCUGGACCUGUACUGACGCUCAUGCACGAAAGC